GGACAGCCUGGGUGGGAAGUUGCACUUGGCCCAGCUCCCAGAGAGGUGGGUGGCUUUAGGUCAUGCGUUCAUCUGAGACCUAGUACAACCUAGGACCCUGGGGCCCUGUGCCGGUCACUGUGCCUCUUCCAGCCUCGGUAUCCUCUGGAAGGUGAGAAUGAAAAACACCCAAUGACACUCAGACUGGACAGGAGCAGGUACGCAGACAGCAGAUGGCCAGGUGCACAGAGGUGUCGCCUGACUUCCUCACCGGGACGGCAUGGGGUGGGGCUCCUCCUGCAGGCGAAGCCCGCCCGGGACUGGGCUCUGGUGGGUUCUCUCUCUUUUCCUUCAACCAAAGACCUGGCUGGACACCCCCCAUCUGACACUCCGGGGGCUUUCAAGGGGCUUCAGGCAACCCACAUGCAUUCUGGGCAUCCCAUUUAGGGGGAUGAAGAAGGAAUUGGAUAAGGCAAGGGUGGGGCUGGCCCGUCUCCUCUGCUGGUGCAUCAGCCCCUCCUAGGGACACCACUGUCCUUGACCCCUCUGCAGGCCAAUCAGCCCUCCUUGGGAAGCCGCCGUCCUUGCCCGCUCUGCUCCUGGGGUCCCACCCAAGCUUCAAUCCUCGCUGUGUGGUCUUCCCUCCGUGAGCCUUCAUUUCCUCAUCGCAGCCCUGGGAGGCAGAUGCUGCCAUGAAACCACGGUGCCCUCAAGAAACCUGGCCAUGAGGGGGCUUCCUGCCUGCCCACGGCCCUGCAGGUCAUGGACCCUUCCAUGGAGGUCUGACAGCCCUGGCCCAGGCAGAACACGGCCUCAGCGUGCUCCUGUGGACCCUGGUGGGAGCCCCAGGAGCCGCGGUGAUGGGGUGAGUCGGGCCAACUUCUUGGCUGUUGCCUGUGGCCCAUCAACGCCUGCGGGUGGACGCCCUUCAGGGCCAGAGCAGGCGCCUCAGCGUGCAGACACUGUCUGGCUCUCUUUCUGCGUUUUCUUCAUCUGGAUUCUGUUGGGACAACAAUCAAGGCUGUCUCGUUCUGUCUGUGGAAUGGGCCUCACCUAGCAAGAAGCCCCAGGGGCCCCCAGGGCUGGGUUACCGGCAGAGAGAAGCCACUGCGACCUUUGCCCUCCCUAAAUCCAGAGGUAUUUGGCCCAGAAGCUCCUCCCUGAGUCCUUGCUGGAGCAUUUGUCUUCAAACGGAGGAGGAGAACCAAUGGAGUCUCAUUCUGCGGCUCACUGCAACCUCCACCUCCCGGAUUCAAGCGAUUCUCCUGCCUCAGCCUCCCAAGUAGCUGAGAUUACAGGCAUGCGCCACCAUGCCUGGCAAAUUUUUGUGUUUUUAGUAGAGACGGGGUUUCACCAUGUUGGCCAGGAUGGUCUCAAUCUCUUGACCUCGUGAUCCGCCCGCUUUGGCCUCCCAAAGUGCUGGGAUUACAGGUGUGAGCCACUGUACCCGGCCUCAGGUAGUAUCUUUAUAGCAGUGUGAGAAUGGGUUAAUACAAUGUGCAGGGCCUUAAGCUGUGGCUGACUGGUAGAAGCAGCUCAAUAAAUGGUGGAUGGAUGGAUGGAUGGAUGGAUGGAUGGAUGGAUUCACUAAUUACUGACUCACUUGUUGGGUGUGGUAGAGCAUCAGAUCACAGACCUUAGAGCCUGGCUUCCAAGGUUUGAAUCUGUGAUAUACUGACUCCAUAAUAUUAAGUGAUUUAUGUAAUGUUCCCAUGCCUCAGUUUCCUCAUCUGUAAAAUAAAGUCCAAAGAUUUCUGUUCUUUUUCAAUAUGGCCAGUUAAGAACCUGCACAAACCCUCCCACUAACAGCAGCUAGAAAUUCUGGGUAGAAUGAAAAAUGCCUGUCUUGUUGAUUAUUGUCUUGAGCUGACUAGGAAGUGUGGAGUACUCAGGCCAGGAUAGAGAAAAGAUGGGACCCAGAGAGGAAGGUGGACACUGAAUCUGGCUUUCCUGGGAGGUAUGGAAAGAUGUGGCCACUGCUCCAUCUCUGAAACAAAAAGCUGAACUUAUUGCUUGUUCAGCAUGGGAGAGCUAUAAUUGUAAGGCUCAGACUGCCCGAACAAAGCAAACUGCUGGCCUUCAUAGUGUUUCAGGAAGAGUGGAGUUCAGGCAUAGGAGGCUUUCAGAAGUGGGAGAGCUUGGGGAAUGAUUGAUCUCUAACUGAGGGAGACUAGUUAUUGGAGAGGGGCUACUGCUGGUUGGUUGACCAAAGAAAGUGGUCACUACUAGAUUGAGACGGACUUAAUGCUGGUGUUUGCUUGUUGCUGUGGCCAGACAACAGCCUAUCUUUUCAUUUUGAAGUUGGAGAAUUGAAAUUUUUUAUUCUCAUAGGCAAACCUGAGCAUCAUUUUUUGACUACUUUUGUGGCUAGAGGUCAGAAGACAAAGCACAGAGCCUGGCCAUGCAGGAGAGUCUAGUGGAAGACCAUUCCUUCAAUGUGGGACUCCAUGGGCUACACCUCACUGUCAUGGGAAACUAGAAAAUCUAUUUCCCCUUUGGAUACUACAUCGGCACUGCCUGUAGCAAACUUUGGUGCCAAGUGGAGCAGGAAAAGCAUUCUCUAAGAAUUAAUAACUAUAACCUGAACUACGUGUGUGUGUAUGUAGCCUGAAUCCACAUUUCCUCAACUAUCCAAAACAAGGGAUUUUAGUUUAAAGGAGUGUCAGAUUGGAAGUGCCUCAAUUGUUUGACAGAAGUAAAUACAAUUACUUUCUAAAGGACUCUGCCUUUACCUCAGGCCUCAGAAAAUUUCCAUAAAGUUCCACAGCAAAUGAGCAGUUCAGAGUAAAAAAAAAAUCACUAAAUAUACAAGGAAACAAGACACCAUGAGGGAAAGUCAACAGAAACAACAGGCAGUAGAAUCAGAUCAGCCAAACAUUUAGAUACUAAAAAUAGCAGGACUGGAAAAUAAAUGUGUUUUAUGGAAGAAAUAAGAGGCUUGGAUGUAUUAAUGAAGAACAAGCAUACUUGAAAAAGAACCAAACAUACUCUUAGAAAUAAAAACAUGACAAUCAAAAUGAAAAACUCAAAAGAUAGCUUAACCACAGUUUAGACAUGACCGAAGAAGGAAUUGAUGAACUGAAGGAUAAGGCAAAAGACAUUAGGAGAGUUGCACUCCUGAAAGAUAAAGAACUGGGAAAUAUAAAGAACAUGAGGACUUGCGUGCAAAUGUAAGCAUAUUGCUAAUUGGAUUUCCAGAAAAUGAAGAGAGAUAGAAUAGGAGUAGGGGCAAUAUUUGAAGAGGAUUAUGGCUGAAACUAUUUCAGAUAUAAUGAAAGAUAGCAACCCACAAAUUUAAGAAGCCCAGUGACUCUCAAGCAAGCCAAAGAAAAAGGAUUCCACACGAGUCACAUAAGAAUAAAAAUACAGAACAUUGAAGACCAAGAGAAGUCUUAUAAAAGAGCCCAAGAGAAAAUAUAGAUUAUCUUCAAAGAUAGUUACGCUGAGAACUUACUAUUCAGGAGCAACAAUGGGAAUUAGGAAACAGAGAAAUGAUGUCUUCAAAAUGCUCAGAGCAAAUGAUUACCAACCUAGAAUUCAAUAUCCGGUGAAAAAAAUUAAAGAUGCAAAUGAUUGUCAACCUAGAAUUCAAUAUCCAGUGGAAAAAAUAAAGACACAAAGGAUUACCCACCUAUACAAUUCAAUAUUCAGUGAAAAAAAUAAAGACAAUCAUAGGCAAAUAAAAAUCAAGAAGGUGUCCCACAAACAACCCUUGCUUAAGGAAAUUUUUUGUAAAAUUAAUUUUAUUUUUUAAGACAGGGUCUCACUCUGUUGCCCAGAUGGGAGUGCAGUGGUGCAAUCAUGGCUCACUGCAGCCUUGAACUCUCAGACUUGGGUGAUCCUCCCA
rnacentral:lncRNA from 1 species